AUUGUGAUUUGAGGUUAUCUGUAUUUGGGGUCAUUGUGAUUUGGGGUCAUCUCUAUUUGGGGUCAUCUCUAUUUGGGGUCAUUGUGAUUUGGGGCCAUCAUUGGGAUUUGGGGCCAUGGAUUUGGUGACGUCAUUGUGAUUUGGGGUCAUCUCUAUUUGGGGCAAUAGAUUUGGGGUCAUCACUGUGAUUUGGGGUCAUCCCUAUUUGGGGUCGUUGUGAUUUGGGGCCAUCAUCUCUGUUUGGGGUUAUCUCUAUUUGGGGUCGUUGUGAUUUGGGGUCAUUAUCUCUGUUUGGGGUUAUCUCUAUUUGGGGUCGUUGUGAUUUGGGGUCAUCAUCUCUGUUUGAGGUCAUUGUGAUUUGGGGUCAUCUCUAUUUGGGGUCAUCUCUAUUUGGGGUCGUUGUGAUUUGGGGCCAUCAUUGGGAGUUGGGGCAUUUCUGUUUGGGGUCAUUGUGAUUUGGGGUCAUCCCUAUUUGGGGUCAUCCCUAUUUGGGGCCAUCUCUAUUUGGGGUCAUUGUGAUUUGGGGUCAUUGUGAUUUGUGGCCAUCAUUGUGAUUUGGAGCCAUCUC
rnacentral:lncRNA from 7 species